rnacentral:lncRNA from 1 species
AGGUUCUAAGAAGGUUUUGUUAAUUUGUUAAUGUGUAUACUAUCAUUUAAAAUAUUCGAAAACCGUAUUUAUGGUAAUUUAUAAUUAUAAUAGAUAAAAAUCGCGACCGAAGAUAAUAUUUUUUUUUAUUUCUUCCUUUUUUUUUUAUCGUUAAUAACUUGCUGGUAGAAUACUUUGCGAACAGGAAACGUACGACUUAUCUUGUGUACAGAUCAGGCAGAUUCAGUGCUGUGUUUGUCUACUAAAGCUAGUCGAACUCCUAUAGCUUUCCUUCGAACGAAAACUGCAGAGAAACCACCAGAGAGCCUCUAUAAAGUCGAUUCAAUUGAAGAGUGGGAUAUAACUGUAGAUUUAGAAUGUUUCCCAGAUUUGAAAGAAAGAAACGGUUCCAAAUUUAGAACCGUUUUGCCUAUCGAUUUAAAACUGAACGAUAUUUUUAUUUUAUUUUAUUUUUUUAACUAGUAGAGCGCUGUUGAUGUCUCUUUAAAUAAAGCGAAUCGGAGCGUUUUGUUUGCCGGGUGUAUUGCCGAAACGGGGCGGAAGAAAACAAGAAAAAAGAAAGAAAGAAAGAGUUGAUAAUCUAAAUUUUUGUUUUCCAUUUUCAAAAAUCCAUUUUGGAGAUUUCCAAAUUCGAUGCGAAAUCUCCGGAGAAAUCAGUAGAUCGGAAGAAAGUUUUCUGAUGUAUAAAAAAAAAAAAGAAAAAAGAAAAAAACAGAAAAUAGCAACCAUUGCGAUCUCGUUAAGCUACCGGAUGGCAAACUGGGUCAAAAGAAGGCGAUCCUCGAAACGACACCUAUCACUGUGGGCCGGAUGUCGUAUCUUGUUAAAUCGCUACAACGGAAAAAGGAUUUGUUCCGAUCUGAUGGAGUUAAGCUUAACGAUGUGCGUAGAAGACUUACGAUCGAUGGAAUUAAGUUGCGGAUCUUCUUUUGCACAAAUCUUAACUCGAUAAGAUUCCGUUUUCUUGUUUUCUAUCUCGGAUAUUAUCGAAUUCUAUCGAUUUUUGCUUAUUUGCUUCGUUAAAACAGUUAGCAGAAGCUAAUUUAUGCAAGAAAGUAAAGAACACAUCCAAAAAAAAAGCAUUAAUUAAAAUUUUUCUCUUAUUUUUACACGCAAUAAUAAUAAAAUCCAUUUCGUAACAAUUGGCGUAAGAAAUAGAAUGUUUCUGUCAA